UGGUUUCUGACGUUUCAUUGUUUCAGAAUCAUAAGAGCUGGUUGGUCCUGAUGGGGGAUGAUCUGAAACUGUGAGGGCCAGGGACCAGUCUGCUCCAGGACAAAGAAGUUCAGAGGUGCUUGGGAUAAACAUGCUGGAGUCUGAGUAAAUACAAGAAAGAAAGGAUUUCUGUAAUUCCAACAUGAAUUUGAAAUUUCAUCUA